rnacentral:rRNA from 1 species
UACGUAGGGGGCAAGCGUUGUCCGGAAUUAUUGGGCGUAAAGAGCUCGUAGGCGGUCUGUUGCGUCGGCUGUGAAAACCCGGGGCUCAACUCCGGGCCUGCAGCCGAGUACGGGCAGACUAGAGUUCGGCAGGGGAGACUGGAAUUCCUGGUGUAGCGGUGAAAUGCGCAGAUAUCAAGAGGAACACCUGAGGUGAAGACGGGUUGCUGGGCCGACACUGACGCUGAGUGCGCGAAAGCCAGGGGAGCAAACGGG